rnacentral:rRNA from 1 species
AAAACGACUCUCGGCAACGGAUAUCUCGGCUCUCGCAUCGAUGAAGAACGUAGCAAACUGCGAUACUUGGUGUGAAUUGCAGAAUCCCGUGAACCAUCGAGUCUUUGAACGCAAGUUGCGCCCGAAGCCAUUAGGUCGAGGGCACGUCUGCCUGGGCGUCACGC